rnacentral:rRNA from 1 species
AGCAGCCGCGGUAAUUCCAGCUCCAAUAGCGUAUAUUGAAGUUGUUGCAGUUAAAAAGCUCGUAGUUGAAUUUCGGGGUCCUACCGUUGGUCGGGCUAACCAGUCUGUACUAGCGUGUAGAAUUCCUACCUUCUGGGGAACCAUCAUGUUAUUAAUUUAGCGUGGUGGGAAACCAGGACCUUUACCUUGAAAAAAUUAGAGUGUUCAAAGCAGGCUUACGUCUGAAUACAUUAGCAUGGAAUAAUAAAAUAGGACGGUGGUCCUGUUUUGUUGGUUUCUGAAUCACCGUAAUGAUUAAUAGGGAUAGUUGGGGGCAUUAGUAUUCAAUUGUCAGAGGUGAAAUUCUUGGAUUUAUUGAAGACUAACUUCUGCGAAAGCAUUUGCCAAGGAUGUUUUCAUUAAUCAAGAACGAAAGUUAGGGGAUCGAAGACGAUCAGAUACCGUCGUAGUCUUAACCAUAAACUAUGCCGACUAGGGAUCGGACGAUGUUAAAUUUUUAUUGACUCGUUUCGGCGCCUUA